rnacentral:rRNA from 1 species
UACGUAGGCAGCGAGCGUUGUUCGGAGUUACUGGGCGUAAAGCGUCCGCAGGUGGCAGUUCAAGUCUGCUGUCAAAGACCGGGGCUUAACUUCGGAAAGGCAGUGGAAACUGAACAGCUAGAGUAUGGUAGGGGCAGAGGGAAUUCCUGGUGUAGCGGUGAAAUGCGUAGAUAUCAGGAGGAACACCGGUGGCGAAGGCGGGUCUCUGGGCAACAACUGACGCUGAGGAGCGAAAGCGUGGGGAGCGAACAGG